GGAGAGGUGGCAGAGUGGUUGAAUGCGUCGCUCUCGAAAAGCGGAGUACUCGCAAGGGUACCGUGGGUUCGAAUCCCACCCUCUUCG
rnacentral:tRNA from 1 species